rnacentral:tRNA from 3 species
GGGAGCAUGGCGGAAUUGGUAGACGCAGUGCACUCAAAAUGCACCGACUUCGGUCAUCUCGGUUCAAGUCCGAGUGCUCCCA